rnacentral:tRNA from 1 species
CGGCCGGUGCUCUGGCGGACUUUCAAUCCGCUAGCCGUGGGUACGAUCCCCACCGGGCCCA